rnacentral:lncRNA from 1 species
UUUUUUUUUUUUUUUUUUUUUUUUUUUUGGUCUUAUUUCUGUCCCUUUCCCUGGUUUGUUCUUGUAACCUGUAGUGCCAACUCUGCUUCCGGAGGGGUAGUGCAGGAUGAAAUGCUGAUCCCGAUGUUGCUUUUCAUUCAUAAAUAAGUAGAAAGUUGUUUCUUCAGUCUUUUGGGAACACAGGACUUAAAGUCACAUCAUGUGUAGAUAUUAACAGGCAGCAUUACCAAGACAUGGCAAAAAGAGUUUGUCUGAAUUGUAAUGUUGCAUUUGUGACCCUCUUCUGGGAUUUUCAGAGGUACAAGGUUAGAAUGCUACAAUGUUACCACUGUGCCUUCCAAUGUUUAUAUCAUCGGAAACAUAACAUAAUCAAAGUGGCUGUGAUUUAACAAAAUGAUUAAAGUGUUAACCUACAUGUGUAGCCGAAGUAGUGUGCAGUGAGGUGUUUCUGAAUACAUGGUCAGAUUUUUGGAAAAAAACAAAAACAAAAACAAAAAAAAAAAAAACCAAGUAAAGUUCAACAACCAUCCAAUGAGAAAAUUGCAAGUAGUGUGACAGAGCUGAUUGAUUUUGUUGCUUUCUUGAUUUUUUUUUUCAAAAUGGGUUUACUAAGAUGUAGAUGACUUAACUGCCUCCUCCUUCGUCUGAAAAAAAAAAUGCCAAUAUUCAAUCAUCAUGCAGCAUUAUAACAAGCCUUAUAAGUCCUAAAGCAUUAAGUUGCACUUUCUUGAGGAGGGGUAGUGCAGUAUUUCUCUGGCCAGUAUGAAUGAAGUUUAUACUUAACAUAUUUGAUAGAAACAUAGAUCAAGCUAUGGCACAGCAACUCAUCAGAUAGCUAGCUUUGACGUCUGGGCACAAUUGAACCAAGUUCCAUCGUGAAUCUUUAUAAUGACUGACUUUGGUGUAUAGUGCAGUAAAGAAAUAGUGCUCCUAGUUAAGUAUUUGUCAGCAUCCUUUUGUCUCUAACUCGUUUCUAUUUUUACAGCCACACAAUCUUGGCAUGUAUUAAGAAAAAAAAAAAAAUCCCUUGUUCAAGUAGUUUUUCCACCUAUCAGCACUGAGUAAAUGCCAUAAACCCAUCGAAAUGGUCUAAAUGUUCCAUCUGUUCUCCUGUUUUGCCAGUUUAUAUAGUAAUGAAAUACAUUUGUAAAUUUUAUGCAACAAAUGGCAAACGUAUCAUUAUUUUGAAAUCGUGUAUGUAAAAGUUAUAUUUUUACAUGUAGACUCUUGUUAUUAUGUGUUUUAAUACAUUGUAUUGGUUUUUGUUUCUUUUCUUUUUUUUGUUUUUUUUACCUGUGUGGUUGAAAAACCGUCUCAUUGAAAUGAAAUAGUGAGCUACAAGAAUCUGAAUUUUAUGUUCAUUUCUGAAAAUGUAAGAACAAAUAAGAUAGUUACCACGUGGUCAUCUUUUACAAACCCAUAAACAUUUUGAUUAGCUGUGUGUGUGUUGAAAACUGUAAAUAUGUUCAGUAGUGAUAAAACUAAAAAUACUUUGAUUUGUUGAUAAGUUCUAAAAUGUGGAGGUGGAUUAAAACCUUAGAAUAGCAGCAAUCAGACUUCAUGAAAAAGUUAUGUUGAGGCUUUCCUGUGAAAAUGGACGAACAAAGGGGCUCCAAGAAGGGCAUGGAAGACAAUAUUGUAUCCUCUCCUCUCCUCCUGAGUAAUGGAAACCAUGUGUACUUGUACCCUCAGUAUGUUGACGAUUUCCUUUUAGUGGUACAUUCUGCACUCACUUUGUAUAGUCUACCAAGGCGGGUAUCCCUAGGAACAAUAUUAUAUAGGAAGCAGGUAUACUCUGAUCACAUUCAGGAUAAGUGUAUAGAAGAAAGUAUGGUGUUUACUCUUUAGGGAACUGGAAACACUCCCUGCGUUGAUGUACAUUUUAAGAUUGGCACUUUUGAUACAUGUUAUCAUCAAGGUGCUUUCAUAGAGCUGAUUUAAAGUUUUUCAAAUCUGUAAGCAAAGCAAAAAAAAAAAAUUAAAUUGUAGUUCUUGGAUUAUUUUUUAAAUCGGUGCUUUCUAUUUUGUUCUCACUCAAACAGAGUAAAAAAAGCUGCAAUUUAUUGCUCACCAGCUUUGAUGUAUUCAUUAAUCAGUAAUGUAAUACCUCUCUUGUGGAAUUCCCUUUGGAAAUAAGCGAAAAACUUUAUAACGGCCACCAAAAGCUGCUCACUACUUUUUUUUUGCUUGGUGGAGAAACAUCUGCACCUAUCUGUAUUCAUUGGGUUGUAUCCCCAUUAAAAAGGAAAAAAGAUGAAAGGGAAUGUGGCCUUUUUAGUGUGUUUUUUCUUGUUGUUGUUUUGUAAUUAUCAAACCCAGGUAAGAUAUUGGUAUCCUGUGCUGGAUUUUCGAGUGAAAUUUAGCAGAAGACAGUUAGUAUUAAAGUACUAUACAAAAAUGUCCUAAGGGUCCAUACUACACUAUAUAUAUGAUGAUACUGAGGCUGGGGAUCUGUUUAAGAGUCAUGGGCUUUAAUAAAAGCAACUUGGAACAGUUGAUCCACCUCCACAUUCAAGUAAUUUAUGAAUAUGCAGAAUAGGGAUCUGUUCAUCUAGGAAUUUCUACCAUUUGUCUUCUGUGUAGCUGCAAGGAACACUAAUGUUUAUACAACUGUCAGUCCAUCCAGUAACGCAACUGGUUCUGAUUCAGUCUUCCGAUUCCUUUUUGGUUUUCGCUUUUUCCUAUUUCUUGAUUUUUUUUUUUUUUUUUUUUUUUUUUUUUUGGUGAUCUUUAUUUUGAUGAGGGAUUGGGGGGUGGGGGUGGGGAGGGUGUUGAACCAAGACUUGGGGUUAAAGAGGAUUUUCGUCUUGGAUCCAACAGGCAGAAUAUGAUCUGUGUCCAAAAGUGAACUUGAGUCAGGAAUGAAACAAUUUCAGCAUAAACAAGCACAAAAAUUUAGUCUGCUGGCUGACUGGAAACAAAAAAAAAAAGUCAAGAUGGAAUAUGAGGAAUUCCAACACAAUGGGGCACCAAGGCCUUUAGGCCUCUCUUUUUAUUUUGCUUUGGUUCUGUUUGUUUUUCUUUAGAGACACGCUCUCUCUCAUGGGACUUGAAGUGGACUCAUCUUUGUGCAGUGCUGGUUUUGCCAUACUCAUUUCAAGUAUUAUAGACAUAUGUAAUGGUGAAAAUAUAUGAACUGUGGCCUUUUUCAUUCUUGUUACUUGUGAUGCAAUUAAGUG